GGCCCUACACUCCUACCAUUGCCCUUCUCUAUAGUGACCCACAUCUCUAGCAUCCUUGGGGUGGUGGUAGAGAUAGGGCACUUCUCUCUAUUUUCCUUAUAUUUCAGGAUCAAACACUCAGAACUAGUUUGGCUUGGAGCACCUUGGAAAAGGCAAUGAAUCAGGGUGGCCUCUUCCAAAGCUUCUUGGAUGAGUCCAAUUCUCCAAAGAGCCCAGAAUCAAACACCUCAGAACUAACUUGGCUUGGAGCAUCUUGGGAAAGGCAACGAAUCAGAGUGGCCUCUUUCAAGGCUUAUUCUCCAAAAAGUCCAGGAGAUUCAAAGAAGAUGACCCUGAACUUGAAGUAUUUAGAGGGAUGAUGCUGAAUGGAUGCUGUGAAGAGGAACCAGGUUAUGGCCAGUCUGUGCUUCAGGUCUGAAGAAACAAAAGAAAAAUAGUGAGGGUGUGACUGGGGAAUCUGGA
rnacentral:lncRNA from 1 species